rnacentral:lncRNA from 1 species
UCGUGAGAAAUGCACAUGCUGCCUAUAGCCACAUGCUGUUUUUUGUAUAAAAAUGAGAAGUGCAUAUGCUGCCUACGGGCAUACGCUGCCUCUCACAUGAAGAUGAGAAGUGCAUAUACUAUCUACAAGUACAUAUUGUCUCUCGCAUAAAAAUGAGAAGUGCACAUGUUGCUUACGGGUGCAUGCUGCCUCUCAUAUAAAGACGAGAAAUACACACGCUGCCUUUGGGCACAUGCUAUCUCUCGCGUGAAGAUGAAAAGUGCACAUGCUGCCUCUCGCAUAAAAAUGGGAAGUGCACACGCUGCCUGCAGGCAUACAUUGCCUCUCACGUGAAGAUGAAAAGUGUACAUACUGCCUACAAGCAUACACUGCCUCUCGCAUAAAAAUGAAAAGUGCACAUGAUGCCUACGGACACACGCUACCUCUCACAUGAAGAUGAGAAAUGUACACACUGCCUCUCAUGUGAA